rfam:Citrus sinensis cultivar Ridge Pineapple sweet orange scaffold00004_contig_568, whole genome shotgun sequence.
GUUCCCUGUGAUGCUUCAUUACUGACCAUGCUAAUUCUGAUAAUCAGAUGAAUGAAAGCUACAUCACGUUAUUUUCUGAGGGAACU